GCAGUGGUGGUUUAGGGGUAGAAUUCUCACCUUCCAAGCGAGAGGCCUGGGUUCGAUUCCCAGCCGAGGCC